CUGUCCCUGUUUGUGCCUCUCGCCUCUCACCCCUGAUACAAAUUCUCUCUAGUUUUGCCCCUUUGCUCUCUCAGUGUCUCACAGGGGCUAUAAAAUCUGGGGAGAUUUGCCCCCUCCCCCCCCGCAAUGCUCUGUUCUCUCGUCUCCCCUGAUUUCCACUCGGUCUCUCCAUGAGUCUGAUUUUCCACCUUCAGUUGCUUAGUUUGUGACACCUUUUCUCUGCAGAUCUGAGAGGUUGAUAUAAAAUACCCUAAACAUUUGCCCCACUUCUCUCUAGUUGUUUGUUUCUAAUUGAAUAUGCCCUGAGAUUUUCCCUUCUCUCUUUAAUUAUAAAAUAGCAAGAAAAUCUCAGAUUUACACCUUUCCUCAGCUUCUUGAACAUGGAUACAAAAGGUUUGCAAAUGAUGCCUAUUUCCUCUCUAUUCAUUUAACAAACAUUGAUGUGAAACACUGAGAUUUUACUGAAUAUCUGAUGUAAACUGAUGUAAAAUCCCUUUGAUUUUCCACUUUUCUCACUAUUAUUUGCAAAAAUAGAGCCAAAAUCUCUCAGAUUUCCAGCCUUUCAUUUCUGUGUUAUUUUCAAAUGUCAAUUAAAAAUCCUUUCAUGUUUGGGGCUGUUCCCUGUGUUUCUCAAUUCCAGCAACUUCUCCUUUCUUGGAAGAAAGGUGUUGCCCUGAAUCAUUCUCCAUCCCGGAGGUUGCAGGGGGUUAAAUUUCCUAGUGUUGAUCUUUCCCCUCUCCUUUGAGAACCAUUUCUUCCCCCCUUUAUCUCUGUUAAAAUGUUUGCUGAUGAAAGAGAACAGCCACAUCUUUAAUACAUAUCAAAGCUGGAGGCCUCCCCAUGUUUGGGGGAUCAUUGGUUCCCAGCUGGUAACGGGAGAGUUGGAUGGACCCUUUUCUUUUAUCCAGCUGGCAUGGGAUGAGGAAGUCACUUUGAGUGCAGCAUGGGUCCAGAAGUAUCCCAAGCCCCAUGACAAAGGGUCUCUGUGAGGGGUUGAUUCCCCCUAUGCUAAGAUGUAGCCACCUCUGGGGUGGAUCCAUGGUGGCCAUUAUUUGCUAGUGACAGGGCAUGGACAUUUCUUACCUUUCUUGCUCUCCAGGCCUUUCAUUCUCCUGUUAAAGAAGCACCUCCCAGGGCUCCCUCUUCCUGUGUGACUGGCCAGCAGGGGGUGGUGUAUUGCUGGGGGCCUGGUGGCUGCAGAACAGCAGGGGUGGGUGUCUCUUUGGGAGGCGGAACAGGGGGUUAGAGGGAGACUGGUGCUGUGCCAGGGGCUCCGUCUGGGCUUCCCUGGCUGGCUCCUCCUGAGAUCGUUACCAUGCCUAGCGCACAGAGCUGGGGGAAGAGAUCCCUGGCACUAGGUCAGGGGAUGCCAGGUAAGCAGAGUGAGGGAUCCCACUGUAAAGCAUCAAGGGGUCCUGCUGGGUGGAAGAGGGAGUCCCAGACAAAUGACAUGGCAGAUCCUGCUGGUGGUGGUGUGGGGGGCGGGUCCUAGUCAGGCAGUGAGGAACUGGGUUCCCAGUGGGUGGGUCUCUGGCUGCUGGGGGCUCUUGGUGGGGGAAACCUUUGGGAUUCUCAACCUGACAAUUACGGUCUAGUGGGGAUUCCCUGGCUGGUGCGGCUUUGAGGGGUAUCUGGGAUCCCUGGCUGGGGACUCUGGGGGCUAGGUCCCAGGGAAUAUCUGGUGGGCCCCUGGCUGUGGGAACGUCUACUAAGCAUGAUCCUUCUCCCUGAUCAACUUGUGCCAGAGUCCUGGUUCCAAGCACUGCCCGGCAUUCCCCAGUCAUGUGCCCUGUCACUGUGAUAACUUUCUGUCCACUUAUCAAACACUGUUAGUGUGAAAUCACAGAUUUUGCUUUUCUCCUCUUUUGAAAACUGCAGGAACUUUUGGUUCCAUUUAGAAAAUUGUGCCCCCAUCCUUGUUCUCGAUCUGGGGGGUGAGGGAGAUCAGAAGGGAGUCAGCACUGCCACACGAUGGUCUGUUCCACAGCGUUCUGAACUCAUUCUUUCUGAAAUCAGGUGUCAUUGAGAACAUCGUUAAUCCAGAGUCACUGUAUGGAAAGACAAGGAGUGCCUCCGGGUGGACAGUGGGGCAAAUGAGAUCAGCAGUUCUCCCUAUGAGGAGGGGCUCUUGUUAGCUGCUCUCCCCAGAGAGCUAAAGGAGAGAAGCUGCUCAAAUGCUCUUUCCCUCUCUGCUCAGGAUAUUGGGGUUCAGCUUCCUGGGUCAGAUGCUGCAGCCUCCAUUGUGAUCUGGGAGACCAGGCUUGGCAGCUGCUGCUCCCCCAGUGGGGGUCUGUGCUGGGAAUUGACCUUAAUUAAAGCUGCUUCUCUGCCCGGCCCAGGGGAUGACUUUCUCCAGCUCAUACUAGCCCCCUCGGGCAGCCCUGGGCCCUGUUAAUACUAAAUUCUGAGCCAGACAUUCCAGGUAACUGAAAGAAACUGUUACCGAAAUAUCGGGUCUGCCUAGCUGAGAGCCAAUUAACAGCCUGACAGGGAUAAAGAAAAAUGCUUUAUUCUGCAGAAAAAGGAGAGCCUGUGCCUUGGCACAAAAGACUCUGUCUUACACAAAUUUCACAAACCUUUUAUACACAUUCAGACAAAGCCCCUUGCGUGUUAAUACUUGAUUGGUAAGUGUAAAAUCUCAUGUUCCCCUUAUCUGGGUAGUACUGACUUGGAGAAGGGAAAAUGCUGGGGUCUGGCCUUAAAAUGACUCUACGCAAAGCGGCCCCCCUCAUUUCUGGUCCCAUUAGCAAUUGCAGGAGCAAAUCCAGCCAUGGGGGAGCAAACCACCUGAGAGUGGGACUUUCCUACCAGACGGGCAGGGAGAAGGGACAGGGGAAAGGAGAUAGAAGGAGAAAGAGAGAUUGAAAGGGGCAAUGGGAGAGAAGAGUUUGGAGAGAAAUUUCCAGAUCUCUAAUCUGCCCAGAAAGAUGUAUUACUGCACCCUGGAUAGAGUCACUUUCCUGUAGAAAAGAUGAGUAUCAGACAGAGGAAAAUCCAAUUCCUGACUCCAUAUUCCCCCUGCUGGGGUGUGGCUGCCAUGGGGUCAGAGUUUGAGGGAAUCCCCCACAGUGAAUCCUUUGGUUCUGCUUUUUUCUAGCCUUGUGUUCAGAGACUUUGUUAUGGGAUGGGGGAGGGAGAAGGGAGGUUAAAAAUGUCUCUGUGGGCUUAGCCUGGCAGGAGGAGCCAGGUCUACGCUGUAUAAAGAGAUCAAGCCUUUUCUCAGCAUACCAGACUCUAGGGUGUGUGUCUGCAGGGAAAGGGCCUGGGGGAAUCAUGCUGUGAAAUGAAUUAAAGCCUGUUCUUAAACCUUCACAAUUGCCCUUCUCACCCUGCCAGGCUGUGGAAUAAUGUCCAUGUUUCACUCCAGUUUAUCCCGUCCUCUCGUUGACCAGGGGAGAGAAAUGGCUGCAGAGGAGCCAGUUCAGGGGCCGUGAGCUUCGAGGACGUGGCUAUGUAUUUCACCAGAGAAGAGUGGGCUCUGCUGGACCCCACUCAGAGAUCCCUCUACAGGAAUGUCAUGCAGGAGAAGUACGAGAAUGUGACCUCGCUAGGGACCGGUGACCUUCGAAGAGGUGGCUGUGUAUUUCACCGGGGAAGAGUGGGCUCUGCUGGACCCUACAGGGGUGUCAUGCAGGAGAACUAGGUAGCUAUAUAUGAGGGGUGGUAUGCUGUGCCCCCUCAUAUGAGAAUGUGACCCUUACUCAUCGAGGUCACAGUCUCAUAGUCUCCAUGCUUGCUGUGCUAGGGCGUUUGCGCAGUUCACCCAGGAAAAAAGGCGUGAAACGGUUAUCUGCUGCUUUCACGGAGGGAGGGGUGAGGCUGUACCCAGAACCACCCGUGACAAUGUUUUUUGCCCUGUGGAAGUACCGAAAGAACUGACAGGGAUUUGUAGGGGAACUUAAUGUAUGACAGUCUCUGUUAGCAAGAGUUAAGCUAACUGUAACCCUAAUAAUGCGAAAUUUGUAGAAGUGAGGAUUGUGUGAGGUGAGCAGAAAAGAACUGUGUGAGAAGUUGUUUUGACUUUGUGUAGAUUAUGUGUAGAUAGACUGGCGUCUCUCAGAAAUGAGAAAAACAAGAUAUCAGGAUGAUCUAUGUAUAAACAAAAUGCAGCUGUUGCUUAUUAUUGUCUGUAACAAAAGUAUAAAUGCUUGUUGUAAUUGUUUACCUAUUGAGAGACCUGUCUAGGAAGGGGAGACCCUAUGUCCUAGUGCAC